ensembl:snoRNA
UAUGAAGAAUGUCGAUGAUAGUUUGAUAGGAAUCGCAUUGAAUCUACAAAUUACUUUGGGCAGUAUGGCCAUUUUCACA